UACGGGGGGGGCAAGCGUUGUUCGGAAUUACUGGGCGUAAAGGGCUCGUAGGCGGCCAACUAAGUCAGACGUGAAAUCCCCAGGCUCAACCUGGGAACUGCGUCUGAUACUGGAUGGCUUGAAUUCGGGAGAGGGAUGCAGAAUUCCAGGUGUAGCGGUGAAAUGCGUAGAUAUCUGGAGGAAUACCGGUGGCGAAGGCGGCAUCCUGGACCGACAUUGACGCUGAGGAGCGAGAGCUAGGGGAGCAAACGGG
rnacentral:rRNA from 1 species